AUACGCAUUGCGCUUGCAUAGCCAGUUGCUUGUUGCUGUUUAGCUCAGGCGGCAGCUAGUUCGUAACCAAAGCUAAAGCUAAAGUUAACCUAUGUGCCAGUGGGUAAGCCUGGCUUUAGCCAGUUUCGUAUAAGCAUACAUAGUUUUAGUUUAAGAAACGGCACAAAAACGUCAGUCAUUGAUUAGUUUUUGAAUUAAAUUGCCUUGUUGCAAUGGCAGUCAUAAUACUUGGCACUUACCUUGAAUACCUGACGGCAAAGGAAAUUCUCUUUAACCGGAAGUAGUCUGUAAUAAAUAAGUUGGUCGUUUUGUCUUUGACAAGCACUUUGGCAUUGCUCUACUUACUUGGCCAUUUCCGAGAGCUGCAAACGACCAUCCUUAUUGGCAUCAAACACUUGGAGCUGCGGUUUGAGUACAAAAAGAGAGAGAGGGAGAGAGAGAGAGAAAGAUGGUUGGCGCCUCUUGGGACCACGUAUAGCAGCCCCUAAAAUGAACACAUACUCGUAAAUCGACUUAAAUAAGUUACCAAAUGCUUUUUUGGCAUGACUUUUGCUUCUCUUAAAUAAAAGUAGGACUAAAUGUUGGCUUGAAAUGUAUUUCAUUUCCUAGAAUACAAAAUAUGUUUUUAAUGGUGCCUCAGUUAAGCAAUGCAUUCUCUAGGGCUGUGUUUUGUUAGAAAUUAACAUCAAGUAUCAUUUAGUUAACGGAAUGCUAAUAUUUUAAAGCCACGUAACUUGCCAAGGCGAACAAAUUUUCACAUUUUAAUUUGACUACCGGAUAUACUACCUGGUAAAUUCUUAUGAGUAGUUAAGCAAAUAACAUAUGAAAUUAUUGCUCGAUUCGAGACGAUUAUAUUUAAAAUAAAUUCUGCUAAAUUCUUGUAAGUAGCGUAAGUAGUCUAGAUUGUAGCUUGAUUUAAUACUCUUAGCCAAUUAAAUAUGCAUUUAACUGCAAGAUAAACUACCUGGUAAAU